rnacentral:rRNA from 1 species
GACGAACGCUGGCGGCGUGCCUAAUACAUGCAAGUAGAACGCACAGUUUAUACCGUAGCUUGCUACACCAUAAACUGUGAGUUGCGAACGGGUGAGUAACGCGUAGGUAACCUGCCUGGUAGCGGGGGAUAACUAUUGGAAACGAUAGCUAAUACCGCAUAAUAUUGAUUAUUGCAUGAUAAUUGAUUGAAAGAUGCUAUUGCAUCACUACCAGAUGGACCUGCGUUGUAUUAGCUAGUAGGUGAGGUAACGGCUCACCUAGGCGACGAUACAUAGCCGACCUGAGAGGGUGAUCGGCCACACUGGGACUGAGACACGGCCCAGACUCCUACGGGAGGCAGCAGUAGGGAAUCUUCGGCAAUGGACGAAAGUCUGACCUAGCAACGCCGCGUGAGUGAAGAAGGUUUUCGGAUCGUAAAGCUCGGUUGUAAGAGAAGAACGGGUGUGAGAGUGGAAAGUUCACACUGUGACGGUAUCUUACCAGAAAGGGACGGCUAACUACGUG